rnacentral:rRNA from 1 species
CGGAGGAUCCAAGCGUUAUCCGGAAUCAUUGGGUUUAAAGGGUCCGUAGGCGGUUUGAUAAGUCAGUGGUGAAAGCCCAUCGCUCAACGAUGGAACGGCCAUUGAUACUGCCAGACUUGAAUUACUGGGAAGUAACUAGAAUAUGUAGUGUAGCGGUGAAAUGCUUAGAUAUUACAUGGAAUACCAAUUGCGAAGGCAGGUUACUACCAGUGGAUUGACGCUGAUGGACGAAAGCGUGGGGAGCGAACAGGAUUAGAUACCCUGGUAGUCCACGCCGUAAACGAUGGAUACUAGCUGUUGGGCGCAAGUUCAGUGGCUAAGCGAAAGUGAUAAGUAUCCCACCUGGGGAGUACGUUCGCAAGAAUG